AAGUCAAACCCGAACGGGGUAGACGAUGGACAACAUGUUAAUAUUCAUGUACCGGCACAGCUGCGAUGGGGUGGAGGAGGUGUGAAAGGCCUGCGUACUGACGGAAUAGUACGUUAAAGGGUGUAGAUAUAUUUGCAGUAGGCAAAUCCGCUGCGAAUGUCGAACCUGAUAGUACCACAAGUCUUCGGAUGAGUGGAUAAUGGCCCUAAUCAGACUCACAAGAAAAACCCCUAAGCUUCAGGCUGCCGCCCGUACCGGAAACCGACACAGGUGGUCGAGGAGAGUAUCCAAAGGUGCUCGAGUGAAUCAUAGUUAAGGAACUAGGCAAAUUAGUCCUGUAACUUCGGGAAAAAGGACCCCCAUCAGUGAUGAUGGGGCGCAGAGAAAUGGCCCAGGCGACUGUUUAUCAAAAACACAUGGCUUUGCUAAAUUGAAAGAUGACGUAUAAGGCCUGACACCUGCCCGGUGCUGGAAGGUUAAGAGGAGAGGUUAGGAGCAAUCCGAAGCUUUGAAUUGAAGCCCCAGUAAACGGCGGCCGUAACUAUAACGGUCCUAAGGUAGCGAAAUUCCUUGUCGGGUAAGUUCCGACCUGCACGAAUGGUGUAACGAUCUGGGCACUGUCUCAACUAUGAGCUCGGUGAAAUUGUAGUUCCGGUGAAGAUGCCGGAUACCCGCAACGGGACGGAAAGACCCCGUGAACCUUCACUAUAACUUUGCAUUGACUUUGAAUAAACGAUGUGUAGGAUAGGUGGGAGACUGUGAAGCGGCGCCGCUAGGUGUCGUGGAGUCAACCUUGAAAUACCACCCUUUGUUUAUUUGAAGCCUAAUCCCGCAUCUGCGGGAGACAUUGCAUGGUGGGUAGUUUGACUGGGGUGGUCGCCUCCAAAAGAGUAACGGAGGCUUUCAAAGGUAUGCUCAGUACGCUUGGUAACCGUACGCAGAGUGCAAUAGCAUAAGCAUGCUUGACUGUGAGACCAACAAGUCGAGCAGGGUCGAAAGACGGAUAUAGUGAUCCGGUGGUUCCGCAUGGAAGGGCCAUCGCUCAAAGGAUAAAAGGUACUCCGGGAUAACAGGCUGAUCACUCCCAAGAGCUCACAUCGACGGAGUGGUUUGGCACCUCGAUGUCGGCUCGUCACAUCCUGGGGCUGGAGAAGGUCCCAAGGGUUCGGCUGUUCGCCGAUUAAAGUGGCACGUGAGCUGGGUUCAGAACGUCGCGAGACAGUUCGGUCCCUAUCUGUUGUGGGCGUUGGAAGCUUGAGGGCACCUGACUCUAGUACGAGAGGACCGAGUCGGACAUACCGCUAGUGCACCUGUUGUGGCGCCAGCUGCAUCGCAGGGUAGCUACGUAUGGAUGAGAUAAGCGCUGAAAGCAUCUAAGUGCGAAACUCAGCCCAAGAUGAGGCUUCCUUUAAGGGUCGUUGUAGACUACGACGUUGAUAGGCUGCAGGUGUAAAGUCAGUAAUGGCACAGCCGAGCAGUACUAAUUACUC
rnacentral:rRNA from 1 species